UUUAUGGUCAAGCUACAAAGGGUCUAUGACGGAUGACUUGGUUAGGUGAGGCGAUGAAGGACGGGGUAAGCACCGAUAUGUCCCGGGUAGCCGCAAACAGGCGUUAAUCCGGGAGAAUCCGAAUGGGGCAACCCAGUGCGGGUCAUACCGCGUUAUCCCCGCGUUGAAUAAAAUAGGCGCGGGGAAGCGAUACCAGGCGAAUUGAAACAUCUAAGUACCCUGAGGAAAAUAAAUCACUUGAGAUUCCCCUAGUAGCGGCGAGCGAAGCGGGAAUAGCCUAAACUGUUUUUUUCGCAAGAAAAGAACAGGGUUGCGGGACCUUGACGUGGGAUUGCGGAUGGAUAGCGGAAGCGCCUGGAAAGGCGCGCCAAAGAGAGUGAAAGCCUUGUACGCCAAAUCUUGAAGCACCCUAGAGGUAUCCCAAGUACCACGGGGCACGAGGAACCCUGUGGGAAUCUGGGCCGACCACGGUCUAAGGCUAAAUACUACACCUAAACCGAUAGUGUACAAGUACCGUGAGGGAAAGUUGAAAAGAACGCCGGUGAGGCGAGUGAAAUAGAACCUGAAAUCAUAGACCUACAAGCGGUGGGAGGGCUAUGCAUAGCGCAAGCUAUGAAUGCCUGACCGCGUACCUUUUGCAUAAUGGUCCGACGAGUUACUGUGCGGUGCGAGCUUAAUUUCGGCAUGAAAGUGCCGCGAGAAGGCGUAGCGAAAGCGAGUCCUAAUUGGGCGCUUAGUACCGUAUAGUAGACCCGAAGCUGAGUGAUCUACCCAUGGCCAGCGCGAAGCCUUCCGAAAGGAGGGUGGAGGUGCGAACCCUUCAGUGUUGAAAAACUGUGGGAUGAGCUGUGGGUUGGAGCGAAAGACUAAACAAACUCAGAAAUUGCUGGUUCUCCCCGAAACAAUUCUAGGGUUCGCCUCGGGUAAUAAACGGUAGGGGUAGAGUGCUGAAUGGGUUACGGGUCCAUACCUGGAUGCUGAACCCAACCAAACUCCGAAUACUACCGUUCGUAUCCCGGGAGUAAGACGACGGGGGCUAAGCUCCGUCGCCUAAAGGGAAUCAGCCCAGACCGCCAGCUAAGGUCCCUAAGGAUAGGCUAAGUGGUAAAGGAUGUGAGCUCGCUUUGACAACCAGGAUGUUGGCUCAGAGGCAGCCAUCAUUUAAAGAGUGCGUAACAGCUCACUGGUCGAGCGACCUCGCGCCUAAGAUGAACGGGGCUCAAGCCUAUUACCGAAGCUGCGGGUGUGGCGCCGCAAGGCAUCACGCGGUAGGGGAGCAUCGUCUAGUGGUUGAAGCUGUACCGUAAGGAGCAGUGGACGCUAGACAAGGGAUUAUGUCGGAAUAAGUAGCGAAAAUGCCUGCGAGAAACAGGCACACCGAAAGUCCAAGGUUUCCUGGGGAAGGUUAAUCCGCCCAGGGUUAGUCGAGCCUAAGCUGAGGCCGUAUGGCGUAGGCGAUGGAUAGUCUGUCAAUAUUCAGACACCAGUCAGAUGGCGUUUCCCGCGCAAGCGGGAUCCCGCUUGCUAUGAAAAUAGCUUAGCGGGAAAAACUUUCUGCGCGACGCAGGAGGGUUGGAGCGGCCGGGUGUUGGAUGUCCCGGCUCUUUUUGCCGCAAGGCAAAGAGGGGACCCUGAGCUCUGCGAGGGGGAAGUGACCCAAAUCCACACUGCCGAGAAAAGUGCAGGGAGGAGUUGUCUGGCUGUCCGUACCGUAAUCCGACACAGGUAGACCACCAGAAAAUGGUAAGGUGCUCGAGAGAACUCUCGUUAAGGAACUCGGCAAUCUAGCCCCGUAAGUUCGCAACAAGGGGUGCCCCGGGGGCGCAAGCCCUACGGGGUCGCAGUAAAGUGGUCCGGGUGACUGUUUAGCAAAAACACAUCACUCUGCAAACUCGAAAGAGGAAGUAUAGGGUGUGACACCUGCCCGGUGCUGGAAGGUUAAGGGGAUGGGUCAGUGUGCCGUAAGGCGCGCGAAGCUCAGAACCGAAGCCCCAGUAAACGGCGGCCGUAACUAUAACGGUCCUAAGGUAGCGAAAUUCCUUGUGGGGUAAGUUCCCACGCGCACGAAUGGUGUAACAACCUGGACGCUGUCUCAACGAGAGACUCGGCGAAAUUGUAGUGGCGGUGAAGAUGCCGUCUACCCGCAUCAAGACGAAAAGACCCCAGAACCUUUACUGUAGCCUGCUAUUGGAAUUUGGUUCAAUAUGUGUAGUAUACGUGGGAGGCUUUGAGGCCCUGGCGCUAGCUAGGGCAGAGCCGCAAUGUGAAAUACCACGCUUAUUGCACUAAGUUUCUAACUUCCUGCCGUUAUCCGGCGGGAGGACAGUGACAGGCGGGCAGUUUGACUGGGGCGGUUCCCUUCUAAAUGAUAACGAAGGGGCCCCAAGGUUGGCUCAGGGCGGUCGGCAAUCGCCCGUGGAGUGUAAGCGCAUAUGCCAGCUUAACUGCGAGUCCGACAGGACAAGCAGAUACGAAAGUAGGGGCUAGUGAUCCGGUGGUUGAACGUGGAAUCGCCAUCGCUCAACGGAUAAUAGGUACUCUGGGGAUAACAGGCUUAUCGGGCUCGAGAGUUCACAUCGACAGCCCGGUUUGGCACCUCGAUGUCGGCUCAUCCUAUCCUGGGGCUGUAUAAGGUCCCAAGGGUCCGGCUGUUCGCCGGUUAAAAGGGUACGCGAGCUGGGUUCAGAACGUCGUGAGACAGUAAAGUGACCGUUGCUGUCUAUAAAUCUGGCUAAUUGCUGGGAAAUCUGAGUAUCCCAUAUUACUACUUGACGAUUUAGUCUCUAUAUGGUAAUAUGUCGUCGGGAGUAAAAACAUAUGGGUGCAGACAAUCAGCAGGAAAGGCCAGGUGAGAUAAGAUCAUAUAUCUCAGGCUUUGUUGAUGGAGAAGGCUGCUUUUCGGUGACAAUUCAGAGAAGCAGUAAUGUGAGGUUAGGGAUUCAGAUAAUUCCUGAAUUUCACGUCUCACAACAUCAAAAUAGGACUGAGGUCCUUGAAGUGAUCAAGAAAGAAUUAGGCUGCGGCUAUAUUAAGCCUAACGAUUACCGAAAUCCUAAGGACCAGACUUCAGUCUAUGUGGUGCGAAACAUCGAUGAUCUCCGGAACAAAGUCAUCCCGUUCUUUAAAAGAUCGCCUUUGAUCUCAAUUAAACAAAACGACUUCGAGAAAUUUGCUCGAGUAGUAAGUUUAAUGGAACAACGAAGGCAUUUAGAAAAGAACGGAUUGAUUGCGAUAUUGAAAGUUGCUUAUUCAAUGAAUUUUAGCGGCAAGUAUCGUAAGCAAAAACUGGAAGAUAUGAUCGCUCACUUGGAAUCUUCAGAGACUGUACGCCAGAUCCGCCAAAGUUCGUGGCGGAAAGAUACAGUCCGAACUGUAUAGCGAUAUACAGAGACAGGCAGAAAUGUCCUGUCCCUCUAAAAGUAGAGGUAACAGUAUUGUCGGUCUCUAUCUGGUGCGGGCGCAAGGAUACUUGAAGGGGAGUUUUCUUCAGUACGAGAGGACCUAGAAAAACGGACCUCUGGUGUUCCGGUUGUCCUGCCAAGGGCAAAGGCCGGGUAGCUAUGUCCGGAAGGGAUAAACGCUGAAAGCAUCUAAGUGUCAAGCCCCCCCCAAGAAUAGGUAUCCCUGGGCCGCAAGGCUCUGAAGGCUGGUCGUAGACCACGACCUCGAUAGGCGCAAGGUGUAAGACCCGUAAGGGUUUAAGCUAAUGCGUACUAAUCAGCCAACCGGCUUGGCCUAUAA
rnacentral:rRNA from 1 species